AUGGUGGAGAGUCCAGACUCUAGACAUUCAAUAGGCUUAGGGAUGAUCAAAGCAGUGACCUUUAGCCCAGCAAAAGUAGUGAUGCCGAUUUAAUGCACCUGUGUGUAGAUGAGAUGAGUUAGUAUGAGCAAAAUGCUUAAAAUAGUGUCUGGCAAACUUAUGGGUGUUUUAUAAAAGGAACCUAUACUUACUACCUUAAUUUUCAAAAUGGCACACUUAUUGUACUCAUAGAAAUUCUCUUCCUUUUUGCCUUUUAGUAUUAUUCUUUUUUAUUAAUCAUUUUAUUCAUUUACAUUUCAAAUGAUACCCUCCUUCUCAGUUACCCCUCUACCAACUGCCCAUCUAGUCCCCCCUCACCCACUCCCUUUUGCCUCUAUGAGGCUGCUCCUCCACCCAUUCACCCACUCUAGCCUCACCACUCUAGCAUCCCUCUAUGCUGGAGCAUCAAGCCUCCCUCCCAUUCCACUGGUGUCAGAUAAGGCCAUAACUGUGGUCCUGGCUCUUUUCAUGUGUACUCUUUGGUUGGUGGUUUAGUUCCUGAGAGCUCUGUAUGGUCCACUUGGUUGAUAUUGUUCUUCUUACGGGGUUGCAAUUGCCUUCAGCUCCUUCAGUCCUUCCCCUACCUCUUCCGUGGGGGUCCCUGGGCUCAGUCCAAUUUGGCUAUGUGCAUCCACAUCUGUAUUGGUCAGGUGCUGGUAGAAACUCUCAGAGAACAGCCAUACCAGGCUCCUGUCAGAAAGCACUUCUUGGCAUCAGCAAUUGUGUGUGUUUGUGGAGGGAGAGUGUCUGCAGAUGAGAUGGAUUUCUUGGUGGGGCAGUCUCUGAUUCGCAUAUCCUUCAGUCUCUGUUCCAUUUUUAGUCCCUGUCUUUCAUUUGGACGGGAGCAUUUGUGGGUUUAAAGUUUUGAAAUGAGUGGGUUUCAUGUCUCAACUGGGGGUCGUGCCUAUCCACUGAAGGUGCAGCUUCAUAGCAUAUCUGAAAGAUCUAGUACAAAAAAAUAAAAUACACCCAAGAGGAGUAGAUGGCAGGAAAUGCCCUAACUCAGGGAUGAAAUCAACCAAGUAGAAACAAAGAGAACUAUACAAAGAAUCAACAAAAUCGGGAGCUGAUUCUUCUAAAGAAUCAACAAAAUAGCUAAACCCUUAGCCAGACUAACCAGAGGGCACAGAGACAGUAUCCAAAUUAACAAAAUCAGAAAUGAAAAUGGAGACAUAACAACAGAAACUAAGGACAUUUUAAAAAAACAAAAAACAAAAAACAAAAACAAAAACAAGAAAAACCCAUCAGCUCCUACUACAAAGCCUAUGCUUUUCUUUUGAGAUUCAUGGUGAAACACAAAAUACAUAACUACAUCAAACUGUAAAUUCCUUAUUUGUUAAGACAUUGUGUCCCCUAUCCAUCAACACAAACUAAACCAAACAGAAAGUAUAGGCACAGGUGUCCAGAGAUCAUCUAGAGCCUUAAGAUGUGCCAGGGGUUCAUGAAUGUCCCUGAGUCAAAGCAUUAGAAUACUUUUUCUAAGUCUAAAUCAAAGACUAUGGCUUAACAGUAAAGAUUUUUAAAAGUAAAAUGAAGCCAGAUAUAAAAUAGGCAACAGCAAAUGAUAAUGCCAGAAAUACUGGAGGAAAGAACAUUUAAAAGAGUAUGAGAUAGAAAAUAGACUAUAAAAGCAGAAACUGACAAGAUGACAGAG
rnacentral:lncRNA from 1 species